CAUCGAUCUCUCCCUAAUCUUCAUCGCCGCCACAGAUCUGGAAACUCCAUCGCCGGCCAUCGCCUAAGCUCUCCAUCGCCGGCCACGCCGUCUGGCUCUCCACCUCGCCGCCUCCGGUGCGUCCCUCGCCUCCCUCGAUCUGUAGACAGCCGCGACGGACAACAGCAGCAACCUUCGCCGCCUCGCCGCCUCGCUGCUUCGCCGGUUCGCCCCUCGUGGUAAGUUUGGAAUAGAGGAAGAAGAUGUUGCCAAAGGGUUGAUUCAGUUUGGAUUUUGGAAAUCAGUGGGAUACCACUUGGGGAACACCCGUGUUCAGGGUGCCAUAAGGGAAUUUCGAUCUCUUUCUACAAUUGGAGGAAGAACUAAAGCGAUUGAAUGGAUGCAAUGCAAAUGUCCACAACAGCCGGGAGGCACUGAAUGUGGAUAUUAUGUACUAAGAUACAUGUUAGAGAUCGUUACUAAGUAUUCAAAGGUUGAUUGUCUACAUGGGAUAUUUGAUAAUGAAGCACCCUACUCCUUGAACGACAUAGAUGAAGUUCGAGAGUUGUGGGCAGAAUAUUUUUUAGAAGAGUGCGUGUAAAUUUAGUUUAAACAUUAACUUAUGCUUAGUUUAUAUUUGAAUGUAGUGUUGAUUGUUAUUAUAUAUUGUGUUGAUAUUAUAAGUGUAUUGUGGUAUUUUAUUGUGUUGA